AUUUCUUCGGAUUGAAAUUUUAGUGACUGAGUGGCGGACGGGUGAGUAACGCGUGGGUAACCUGCCUCAUACAGGGGGAUAACAGUUGGAAACGGCUGCUAAUACCGCAUAAGCGCACAGUACCGCAUGGUACCGUGUGAAAAACUCCGGUGGUAUGAGAUGGACCCGCGUCUGAUUAGCUAGUUGGUGGGGUAACGGCCUACCAAGGCUGCGAUGGAUAGCCGAGCUGAGAGGCUGAUCGGCCACACUGGGACUGAGAUACGGCCCAAACUCC
rnacentral:rRNA from 1 species